rnacentral:tRNA from 1 species
GGGCAAUUAACUCAGCUGGUAGAGUGCAUCCUUGACGUGGAUGAAGUCAGGGGUUCGAGUCCCUUAUUGUCCA